rnacentral:lncRNA from 1 species
AAUUUCAAGGAAGCACUUUGGGCGCCAGGAUUCCCAGCACUUAGCUGGUGGGCAAAGGGGCUCAUCCCCUUCCCCACAUCCCACCUUCCCUCCUCCCAGUCUUCGGGAGUGCGGAGCUCCUGCCGGGAUCCAAGAGCAGGCUCUUGGAGGUCGAAGAAGGAUAUAACCUCCAGACCUGGAAUUUAAGACGCAAGAACCAGCCAGCAAAUGUGGCAGCAGAGCAUGCGAAUGAAGAUAUAGAAGUCUCAGCUUCUUCAGUGCUAUGUCUGCCAGGAUGCUGCCACACUCUCUUCUUAAUGAUAAUGGACUGAACCUCUGAACCUGGACGAGAAACUACAGCAUUACUUCUGUAGAUUCACAAAGGAGUCCACGUUCCAAGAUGAGAGAAAUACCNGAAGCUGAUGGCUAUUCUAUUUGACUGAAUGAAAAGAAAAGGAAGUCACUUCCUGUUAAUCCUGCUUUGGAUUCCUCCACAGUUUAAGAAGCACCAUUGAUCUGAUCAUUGGCACUGAGAAGGAAAUGCCCAUCCGCAGAAGACACUCAGGGCUCAUCCCAGCUUGACAUGGGCAAAUGAAAAUAGGAUGGAGUUAUGGUGGGACACUCUUACUGAACUCUGAAAACAUCCUGCAGCAAAUUGCUUCUGUGAAAUCUUCCUGCUGUUUGGGAUGUAUCCUUCUAUAGCACAGAAACGGAAACUUCAGCCAGAAGAGAGGAAUUCAGUGACUCCAUGCCAACAGAAACAGAGCUCUGCAUUUGUUUCCUGAGCCUACUUGCACUUGGAAGGUUUCUUUCCUCACAAGAAACAUGUGUUACAGGAUAUAAAAGUGGCUUUCAGUUUGGGGUUAGAACCCGAGACAGAAAGACAACGGAGAAAAAUUUCAGCUCAGCCUUUCUAGAUUGGAAAUGAUGCAUGAAGUUUGCUGUUUCUCCAAGAUUUCAGAACAGGUAUGACAUGGUGCUUAAUUUAAUCACCCAGUGAAUCACCUUUUCUCUGUGAGAUGUUAACACUGAUGUAAGAUGUUUCCAUGUGAGGAACAAGAAAGACUUUAGACACAGAAAAGCUUCAAGGAUUGGUAAAUAGAAUAGUGUGGUCUGCACCCCACUAAUUUUUCUUGCCAUCCCUGAGAGGUCCUAUGGGCUGUAGCAAUGCAUCAUUUAGAUAGCCCCUUCAGCUGGUUCAUGGAAAAACUAACAAAAAUUGAUGCUGUUAUCUGAGGUUUUCUUGUGUGAUUCGUCUAGCUCUUUACAUUCAUUAUGGGUUUUGCCCUUCUUUAAUAAAAUGGCCUGAUAUUGCCU